rnacentral:miRNA from 1 species
AGGUUGGUGCAAAAGUAAUCACAGUUUUUGUAAUUACUUUUUUAAAUAAAGAUAAAAACUGUGAUUACUUUUGUACUAACCUAAUAG